GAAUAAUAUAAAAUACACACGAAUGGAGCUAUAUAUGGGGAGUACCAGUACCAGAUCAAUGUGGAGCUAUAUACAGGAAGUACCAGUACCAGAUCAAUGUGGAGCUAUAUACAGGAAGUACCAGUACCAGAUCAAUGUGGAGCUAUAUACAGGAAGUACCAGUACCAGAUCAGUGUGGAGCUAUAUACAGGGAGUACCAGUACCAGAUCAAUGUGGAGCUAUAUACAGGGAGUACCAGUACCAGAUCAAUGUGGAGCUAUAUACAGGAAGUACCAGUACCAGAUCAAUGUGGAGCUAUAUACAGGAAGUACCAGUACCAGAUCAAUGUGGAGCUAUAUACAGGGAGUACCAGUACCAGAUCACUGUGGAGCUAUAUACAGGAAGUACCAGUACCAGAUCAAUGUGGAGCUAUAUACAGGGAGUACCAGUACCAGAUCAAUGUGCAGAGCUAUAUACAGGACGUACCAGUACCAGAUCAAUGUGGAGCUAUAUACUGGGAGUACCAGUACCAGAUCAAUGUGGAGCUAUAUACAGGAAGUACCAGUACCAGAUCAAUGUGGAGCUAUAUACGGGGAGUACCAGUACCAGAUCAAUGUGGAGCUAUAUACAGGGAGUACCAGUACCAGAUCACUGUGGAGCUAUAUACAGGGAGUACCAGUACCAGAUCAAUGUGGAGCUAUAUACAGGAAGUACCAGUACCAGAUCAAUGUGGAGCUAUAUACGGGGAGUACCAGUACCAGAUCAAUGUGGAGCUAUAUACAGGGAGUACCAGUACCAGAUCAAUGUGGAGCUAUAUACAGGAAGUACCAGUACCAGAUCAAUGUGGAGCUAUAUACGGGGAGUACCAGUACCAGAUCAAUGUGGAGCUAUAUACAGGGAGUACCAGUACCAGAUCAAUGUGGAGCUAUAUACGGAGAGUACCAGUACCAGAUCAAUGUGGAGCUAUAUACAGGAAGUACCAGUACCAGAUCAAUGUGGAGCUAUAUACAGGAAGUACCAGUACCAGAUCAAUGUGGAGCUAUAUACAGGGAGUACCAGUACCAGAUCAAUGUGCAGAGGUAUAAGAUACUUGAGGUAGAUACUGUAUGUAUAUGAAGGCAUCCGGAUAGAUAAUAAUAAGAGUAAAAUAAAGAGCAUAGAUAGGACACUGCGCAUGAAACAUGAUUGGAAUCUCAUAUGAAGAAGAAAACCAUAUGGAUGGAAACAAUUUAAUACAUUAAAAUCCUUAU
rnacentral:lncRNA from 8 species